UACGUAGGGUGCGAGCGUUGUCCGGAAUUAUUGGGCGUAAAGAGCUUGUAGGCGGUUUGUCGCGUCUGCUGUGAAAUCCGGGGCUCAACCCCGGACUUGCAGUGGGUACGGGCAGGCUAGAGUGUGGUAGGGGAGACUGGAAUUCCUGGUGUAGCGGUGGAAUGCGCCAGAUAUCAGGAGGAACACCGAUGGCGAAGGCAGGUCUCUGGGCCACUACUGACACUGAGAAGCGAAAGCAUGGGAGCGAACAGGG
rnacentral:rRNA from 1 species